GCACAGGCCCGGGGCGGUUGGCGGCAACGAUCCUACAGCUUCGGUUGGCGGCGUUAGGUGCUGCCGGUUAUAGUCAGGAUUUAUUUUAACUUGCGGGUCGUUACCUGAGAGAAGCCAAGUCAAUGCUUCUCGAUGAAGAAGGCAAAUAUAAAGAUUCGUACUGAGGCUGGUCUGGAGCAGUGAAUGAAGGAGUGAAUCUUGGUGAACCCAGUGAACGGACCUGGUUAUAAUGGGUGGAAAUUGGCUGACAGCAGAACAUCUCCAUUCAGUCAUCAAAGAUGGCCUAAACUUUCAUUUGCCUGCCACUUUAAUUGUUCAUCACACUUCCAUUGGAUAUUGUGUACCUUCCAUUGGAUAUCUGUCUUCUUGCCUCUUGCAGUGCUGCAUAUACAUUGUUCUGCAUUUCACAAUUUUGAGAUCUUUUAAUUUAUCCUAAUUCAUUUCCUUUUGGAUCUCAGAUAGUCACCAUCACAUACUCACCUGCCACCACCACCUUUCAUGACAUUGGGUUAUCUCUUGGUGUCCACCUUUGCUAGGUGUUUCCUUUGCUCUCUCUAUCUUUCUCUUCGACUAAACACAUGUUUAAUUUCUGACUUUCCCUGGUUCCAAUGAAACUACCGGGCUAGCAUUCUUUCUCCAUGAGUAUCACAUGUGGAGAACUGAGCAAAUUUGGGCCCCAUAUCUGAGGAAGGAUAUGCUGGCUCUGGAGAGGGUCCAGAGGUGGUUUACAAGAAUGAUUCCAGGAAUGAGUGGGUUAGCAUAUGAUGAGUGUUUGACAGCACUUGGCCUCUACUCGUUGGAGUUUAGAAGGUUGAGGGAGGACCUCAAUGAAACUUACAGAAUAAUGAAAGGCAUAGAAUAGAGUGGAUGUGGAAAGGAUGUUUGCACUGGUGGGAGAGUCUAGGACCAGAGAUCACAGCCUCAGAAUUAAAGAAGAACUUCUUUAGUCAGAUGGUAGUUAAUCUGUGGAACAUUGCCACAGAGGGCUGUGGAGGCCAAGUCAGUGGAUAUUUUCAAGGCAGGGAUAGACAAAUUCUUGAUUUGAAUGGGUGUCAAGGAAAAUGGGAUUAGGAGACAGAGAUCAGCCAUAUAGACUUGAUGGGCCAAAUGGCCUAAUUCUCCUAGAACUUGUUAACCACCUGUGCUGCAGAGUAUUUCCAGCAUUUUCUGUUUUAUAUUCGGCAGAAAGAUCUUAUUAUUUAAUUUGAGUGCUUUGGGCUAUGUGUUAAAGACAGCUACAGUUUAUGCAUAAAACAUUUCAGUAAAAUAUAUACAUUUUUAUGCCAUUGGGUAAAAUAAAUGAACAAAAGGAACCAUUGAUGAGUAGAGGACCUAUAGAGCCACACAGCACAGAAGCAGGCUCUUUGGCCCAACUCGUCCAUGCGCACCAAGAUGCUCCAUCUAAGCUAGUGCAUUUUGCCUGCAUUUGACCCAUAUCCCUCUAAACCUUUCCUCUCCAAAUGUUUUUCAACAAUUGUUAUUUUACCUGCUCAAACUAUUUCCUCUGGCACCUCAUUCCAUAUACCCUCUGUGUGGAAAAGUCACCUCAAGUUCCUAUUAAAUCUUUCACUUUGAUCUGUGCCCUCUAGUUCUUGAUUCCCCUAUCCUGGGAAAAAGGACUCUGUGGAUUCAACAUAUCUAUUCCCCUCAUGAUGUACACCUCUAAGAUCAACCUUUGCUCUCCAAGAAAUAAAGUCCUAAUCUCUCCCUCGAGUUCAGGCUGCAUCCUCCUAAAUCUUCAUUGCACUCUUUCCAACUUAAUAGCAUCUUUCGUACGGAAGGGUGACCAAGACUGAACACAAUACUCCAAGUUCCAACUUCUGUCCUCAAUUCUAUGACUGAUGAGUACCAAGGUGCCAAAAGCCUCCUUCACUACCUUAUCUACCCGUGACCCCACUAUGGGGUGGAAGAUAGCAACCUUCACGUGGUCCGCCCUGUUUCAACAAAUGCAAUCAACCCUGCGUGCACAAUCAAAUAAGAUCAAAUAGAAUAAGUUGUCUCACAACUUUAGGCUGUGCACGCCAUGCGCAAGAAGAAAACCCUACUAUUAGGGAACAAUGCAGUGGUGCUCCUAGAUACCUCUUCUACUGCAUUUUCCAGGGCCCUACCAUCACUUUGAAGGUCCUGUCUUGGUUUGACGUCGUAAAAUACAACCUCGCACUCAUCUGAAUUAAACUCCAGUUGCCAUUCCUCGGCCCACUUGCCCAGCUGAUCAAAAUCGCAUUGUAACUUGAUUACCAUCAUCACUGUCUACAAUUCCACCUAAUUUAGUGUCAUCUGCAAACUUACUAAUGAACAUUCUCAUCCAAGUUAUUGAUAUAGAUGAUAAACAACAAUGGGCCCACCACUGAUUACUGAGGCAAAUCAUUAGCCAUAGCCUCCAAUCUGAAAAACCUCCUGAACCAUUACAUUCUGCCUGCUACCAGUUUUUUAAACACGUAUUUCCUAUUCUAGUCGUGUGUCUUGCGUUGUGAAUGUGGAUCUCAAAAGUAUUUGAAAUGUUAGUAAUUUACAAAACUAACUGACGACAAAGUUUGUUUAUCUCUGAUAAUCGUUCUUUAAAUUUCCUGUUCAUGGUGAGUGGACAAUAUUGAAUGAUGUGAGCAUAUCACUGGCACUUAGACAGAAUCCUUGCUUGUGUGGUGCAUUUGGGUUGAGGAUUGGAGCUGGGUUUCCACCUCAACAUUUUUUUCUCAUGAAUGAAUAUUCAUGAUGUUCAUUUGCUCUCUGGUUCCUCAGCUAAUUGGCAAUCAAUGAAAAUCAAAAAAGAGCAUAUGAAAACCCAAUGUGAACACAGGCAAUGCUUUGCCAGUUCUGAUGAUGGAUUUUCUACCUGCCUAUUUUACAAAUGCAGACUGAAAGUUGGUGGCCUGGUCGAUGAGGAUUUGGGUAUGUACAAUAGAAAGAAGCCCACGUGUGCAGUUUGUAAUGGACAUUGCUAAUUGACUACAGUGGGAACCUGCCCCGUCUCCCCUGCACCCUCCCUGCCCAAAUUUCAGACAGGGGUAACACUUCCAUUUGUGGUAGUGGAUGAAUGAUAAUGUGGCAGCUACAUUGAAUCUAUGGCUGCAUGCAAUUCUGUAAAGUAUACUUGCUCCCUACUGAAAGUCAAAGCUCAAUAAAAUUAUUUUUCACAAAUGA